rnacentral:rRNA from 1 species
UACGGAGGGUGCGAGCGUUGUCCGGAAUCACUGGGCGUAAAGGGCGCGUAGGCGGACUGAUAAGUAGGGGGUGAAAUCCUGCGGCUUAACCGCAGGGCUGCCUUCUAAACUGUCAGGCUUGAGCACAGUAGAGGCAGAUGGAAUUCCCGGUGUAGCGGUGGAAUGCGUAGAGAUCGGGAAGAACAUCAGUGGCGAAGGCGGCCUGCUGGGCUGUUGCUGACGCUGAGGCGCGACAGCGUGGGGAGCAAACAGG